rfam:Triticum aestivum genome assembly, contig: Triticum_aestivum_CS42_TGACv1_scaffold_288160_4AL
CAACUACUCCCUCUGUCCCAAAUUUCUUGUCUUAGAUUUGUCUAGAUACGGAUGUAUCUAAUACUAAAAUGUGACUUGAUACAUCCGUAUCUAGACAAAUCUAAGACAAGAAUUUUGGGAUGGAGGGAGUACUUU